CACUCCGGGAAAAAAAUUGGGUGCGCAGCGGGCGCACUGAGCUUCCCGUGCGCCCCCUGGCCCGAUGCCGUCCCCGUACAAUCGAACGGCGAAGGCUCCCUACGGCGCGCGGCUCCGUUUCCAGCUGGAGAUGCAGCUCGGCUCACUUCCUUUUCCUAGUCCUCAGCUCGCUUCCUUUUCUUCACUCCUCUUCUUUCCGGAGCGUUGCAGAUCGAGAUCCAUGGCCGGAGCCGCCGCGGAUCCCCAUCACCGGAGCUGCAGUAGAUCCCCAUCACCGGAGCUGCAGCAGAUCCCCAUCGCCGGAGCCACCGCGUUGCCCGCUCCCGGCGGUGCCCCCGCUCCCGCGCGCCUGAGCCGCCCUCCUCGUUGCCCGUCACUGCUGCUUCCCGUCGGGCCGCCAUCCCCGUCGCCCACGGCCACUCCACCCGGCGGCGCCUCCGCCCGCCCGGCCCUGCGUCGCCCGCGGCCGCUUCCCUCCGCCUCCGCUGCCUCGCCCGCGGUCGGGCGCGGCUGCUGCUACCUCACCGUCCAGUCGCCCUCCCCAUUCGGCCUCUGUUUGCUACCUUGUUUGCUGAAUUGGCUAGGUCCAUUCCAUUGAUGUGGAUUCAAGUUUAGGUAAAAAUGUAUCACAGGUUUUUGGCAUAGACAGCAGGUCCUCGUGGCCUGUGUCUUGGUGCUUGCUGCUCACAAUCUGAUGUAAAUUGUUCAACGUUAGGGCUGCAAAAUUGUGUCUUAGUUAUUGAGUUAAAUUUUGCAUUAUUGGAAUUUGAUGUAUGCAGUAGUUUUUGUGUCUAAAUUUUGUCAGAGCUAAGAAAGGUCCACAUAGUUUAACUUUUUGGUGAUGCACUAAUUCAGUAAUGCUCUAAAGAAUAAAUAUCAGCUAUAGUUUGUACUGUAUAUAAAGAGUACCCGAGGUCCCAAACAAGACAAUAUUUGUAACAUAAAGAUUUUUUAUUCCAGGUUAUAAAUCCACAAGUUCAGUUAUGAACUUAGUAUAAAGCAACUGUUUCUUCUCUUAUACUCAGUUGAUAAGCUGAGGAAUGUAGUUUGUGAUUGAGUGUGAACAUCCACAAUAAAGAGCUGAACUCUCUUGUGUUUA